rnacentral:misc_RNA from 1 species
GAUGAAGAACGUAGCGAAAUGCGAUAAGUAAUGUGAAUUGCAGAAUUCAGUGAAUCAUCGAAUCUUUGAACGCACAUUGCGCCCGCCAGUAUUCUGGCGGGCAUGCCUGUUCGAGCGUCAUUUCAACCAUCAAGCCCCGGGCUUGUGUUGGGGACCUGUGGCUGCCGCAGGCCCUGAAAUGCAGUGGCGGGCUCGCUGUCACUCCGAGCGUAGUAGUUACAUCUCGCUCUGGGCGUGCUGCGGGUUCCGGCCGUUAAAAGCCUUAUUUACCCAAGGUUGACCUCGGAUCAGGUAGGAAGACCCGCUGAACUUAAGCAUAUCAAUAAGCGGAGGA